GACAUUUCGAAGAGGGGCAUGAGAAUGUCACCAUAAAAUAGAAAAGGGAGGACAGAGCAGAAGAGAAUGGCAAAGGACUGAAAUGGAAAACUAAUUGCACUCGAGUGCAAAAGUCAACAAUUUUACUUCCAGAAAUUCAUUCUCCAGAAAAAUGAAUGAACUCUGGAAUCAACCAUUGGGAAAUCCCACUGGGAGAGAAGAGCAGAGACCCCCAGCAGGGGCACUGCCUCUGUUCAGGGCAGAGCAGCCAGAAGUGCCUAUGCCUCAGCAACCUGGAGUCCAGGUGCUCCUCCAUGCCCUCACCUUGGCACAGGAAAGGCAACGUGGGGCCCAAGGAACAGAUCAUUCCCGACAUUUCACAGUGGUUGGAAUUAACAGAUGUAGGAUAAUAGCAUCAAAUUUUAAGCUUAUAACAAAUGUUACUUUCAAAUCAGCUAUGCAAAUACAGCUUUAAAUAUAUGCAGAUUUAUGACUAGUUCCUUAAAGGUAAUGAUUUUUUUAAAAAAACACUGAAUUCUAAGAGGAAUUCUUAAU
rnacentral:lncRNA from 1 species